CAACACAACACAAUAUCUUAUAUGUAUAGACUUGAAGGCUAACUAAGGAUCCAAGGAUAUUUUCUUGAGUAGUCCCUGAUCAAAGCCAAAAAAUAAUGGAAAAUGGUCUAGAAAGAACUGUUCUCACCCAUGGCCACAAGCUUCUGGCCGUCCUCCUUACAGAAAGCAUCUAGUCUUUGGCCUUCCUCUUUUCUUUGGGAUCAGCUGCUGUUCCCCACGGAUUGGUCAAGCAUAAAGAAGGAACUUGGACUUUCAUUCCUCUGUAUGAGCUGGAUGGAGGGGGGACUUUAGGACUUGCUGGAAGGUCAAAGACAAACCCUUUCAGCAGGUCAGAUGAGCUUCCUGGACUCUUGGUCAGAAAUGUAGCUUGAUCCUUGGAUUUCCUGAUAGUAGCCUCCUGAAAUUGCUAUGGACUCAACAUUUUCCACAGUGCGCCACAAUACAGGAAACAAACUGAGCAUCUUUGCUGUUUUUAAUUAUUAUAUGUGCCAUUAUUAUGGGAAAUUGUAGGGUAGACUUUAAUAAAUUAUCUUAUAACAACU
rnacentral:lncRNA from 1 species